rnacentral:rRNA from 1 species
GCCAACGAGUGGCGGACGGGUGAGUAACACGUAGGUAACCCGCCCAGAAGUGGGGGACAACAUUUGGAAACAGAUGCUAAUACCGCAUAACAGCGUUGUUCGCAUGAACAACGCUUAAAAGAUGGCUUCUCGCUAUCACUUCUGGAUGGACCUGCGGUGCAUUAGCUUGUUGGUGGGGUAACGGCCUACCAAGGCGAUGAUGCAUAGCCGAGUUGAGAGACUGAUCGGCCACAAUGGGACUGAGACACGGCCCAUACUCCUACGGGAGGCAGCAGUAGGGAAUCUUCCACAAUGGGCGCAAGCCUGAUGGAGCAACACCGCGUGAGUGAAGAAGGGUUUCGGCUCGUAAAGCUCUGUUGUUAAAGAAGAACACGUAUGAGAGUAACUGUUCAUACGUUGACGGUAUUUAACCAGAAAGUCACGGCUAACUACGUGCCAGCAGCCGCGGUAAUACGUAGGUGGCAAGCGUUAUCCGGAUUUAUUGGGCGUAAAGAGAGUGCAGGCGGUUUUCUAAGUCUGAUGUGAAAGCCUUCGGCUUAACCGGAGAAGUGCAUCGGAAACUGGAUAACUUGAGUGCAGAAGAGGGUAGUGGAACUCCAUGUGUAGCGGUGGAAUGCGUAGAUAUAUGGAAGAACACCAGUGGCGAAGGCGGCUACCUGGUCUGCAACUGACGCUGAGACUCCAAAGCAUGGGUAGCGAACAGGAUUAGAUACCCUGGUAGUCCAUGCCGUAAACGAU